rnacentral:rRNA from 2 species
UUAAGUUAACAAGGGCGCAUGGUGAAUGCCUUGGCACUAGGAGCCGAUGAAGGACGGGACUAACACCGAUAUGCUUCGGGGAGCUGUACGUAAGCUAUGAUCCGGAGAUUUCCGAAUGGGGCAACCCAGCAGUUUUAAUCAACUGUUACCACUAGAUGAAUUCAUAGUCUAGUUGGAGGUAAACGCUGUGAACUGAAACAUCUCAUUAGCAGCAGGAAUAUAAAGAAAUUUCGAUUCCCUAAGUAGCGGCGAGCGAACGGGGAACAGCCCAAACCAAAGUGCUUGCACUUUGGGGUUGUAGGACUGAACAUUUGAGUUACCAAAGAACUUGAUAGUCGAAGGAUUUGGGAAAAUCCGCCAUAGAUGGUGAUAGCCCAGUAGAUUAAAUCAAAUUCUCUCAGUUCAGGAUCCUGAGUACGGCGGAACACGUGAAAUUCCGUUGGAAUCCGGGAGGACCAUCUCCCAAGGCUAAAUACUACCUAGUGACCGAUAGUGAACCAGUACCGUGAGGGAAAGGUGAAAAGCACCCCGGGAGGGGAGUGAAAUAGUUCCUGAAACCAUGUGCCUACAAUAAGUCAGAGCGCGUUAAUGCGUGAUGGCGUGCCUUUUGUAGAAUGAACCGGCGAGUUAUGAUCCCGUGCAAGGUUAAGACUAAAAAGUCGGAGCCGUAGCGAAAGCGAGUCUGAAAUGGGCGUUUUGAGUACGAGGUUAUAGACCCGAAACCAGGUGACCUAUCCAUGUCCAGGUUGAAGGUGCGGUAAAACGCACUGGAGGACCGAACCCGUGUAAGUUGAAAAUUGCUGGGAUGAGGUGUGGAUAGCGGUGAAAUUCCAAACGAACUUGGAGAUAGCUGGUUCUCUCCGAAAUAGCUUUAGGGCUAGCCUCGGAAUUAGGAUCAUGGAGGUAGAGCACUAUUUGGACUAGGGGCCCGUCUUGGGUUACUGAAUUCAGAUAAACUCCGAAUGCCAUUGAUUCAUAUCCGGGAGUCAGACGAUGAGUGAUAAGAUCCACCGUCGAAAGGGGAACAGCCCAGACCAUCAGUUAAGGUCCCUAAAUGUAUGCUAAGUGGAAAAGGAUGUGGAGUUGCAUAGACAACUAGGAUGUUGGCUCAGAAGCAGCCACCAUUUAAAGAGUGCGUAAUAGCUCACUAGUCGAGUGAUCCUGCGCCGAAAAUGUACCGGGGCUAAGCAUACUACCGAAACCAUGGAUGCGACCAUUAGGUCGCGUGAUAGGAGAGCGUUCUAAGGGCGGUGAAGCAAGAUCGUGAGGACUUGUGGAGCGCUUAGAAGUGAGAAUGCCGGUAUGAGUAGCGAAAGAUAGGUGAGAAUCCUAUCCACCGAAUGACUAAGGUUUCCUGGGGAAGGCUCGUCCUCCCAGGGUUAGUCGGGACCUAAGUCGAGGCCGAGAGGCGUAGACGAUGGAUAACAGGUUGAGAUUCCUGUACUAGUUAAGUGCGUUUGAGCAAUGGAGGGACGCAGGAGGCUAAGAUGUGCAUUCUGUUGGAUUAGAAUGUCCAAGCAGUAAGUCUUGUGAAGAGUCAAAUGCUUUUCACUUUAAGGACAAGCUGUGAUGGGGAGCGAAAUUUAGUAGCGAAGCGUCUGAUGUCACACUGCCGAGAAAAGCUUCUAGUGAGUACUUAACUACCCGUACCGCAAACCGACACAGGUAGUCGAGGAGAGAAUCCUAAGGUGAGCGAGUGAACUCUCGUUAAGGAACUCGGCAAAAUGACCCCGUAACUUCGGGAGAAGGGGUGCUGAUCGCAAGAUCAGCCGCAGUGAAUAGGCCCAGGCGACUGUUUAUCAAAAACACAGGUCUCUGCAAAAUCGUAAGAUGACGUAUAGGGGCUGACGCCUGCCCGGUGCUGGAAGGUUAAAAGGAUGGGUUAGCUUCGGCGAAGCUCAGAAUUGAAGCCCCAGUAAACGGCGGCCGUAACUAUAACGGUCCUAAGGUAGCGAAAUUCCUUGUCGGGUAAGUUCCGACCCGCACGAAAGGCGUAACGAUCUGGGCACUGUCUCAACGAGAGACUCGGUGAAAUUAUAUUGUCCGUGAAGAUGCGGACUACCCGCGACAGGACGGAAAGACCCCAUGGAGCUUUACUGUAGCUUGAUAUUGAGUGUUUGUACAGCUUGUACAGGAUAGGUAGGAGCCAUAGAAACCGGAACGCUAGUUUCGGUGGAGGCGUUGGUGGGAUACUACCCUCGCUGUAUGACCACUCUAACCCGCACCACUAAUCGUGGUGGGAGACAGUGUCAGGUGGGCAGUUUGACUGGGGCGGUCGCCUCCUAAAAAGUAACGGAGGCGCCCAAAGGUUCCCUCAGAAUGGUUGGAAAUCAUUCGCAGAGUGUAAAGGCACAAGGGAGCUUGACUGCGAGACAGACAGGUCGAGCAGGGACGAAAGUCGGGCUUAGUGAUCCGGUGGUACCGUAUGGAAGGGCCAUCGCUCAACGGAUAAAAGCUACCCUGGGGAUAACAGGCUUAUCUCCCCCAAGAGUCCACAUCGACGGGGAGGUUUGGCACCUCGAUGUCGGCUCAUCGCAUCCUGGGGCUGUAGUCGGUCCCAAGGGUUGGGCUGUUCGCCCAUUAAAGCGGUACGCGAGCUGGGUUCAGAACGUCGUGAGACAGUUCGGUCCCUAUCCGUCGCGGGCGUAGGAAAUUUGAGAGGACCUGUCCUUAGUACGAGAGGACCGGGAUGGACAUACCUCUGGUGUACCAGUUGUGCCGCCAGGCGCAUCGCUGGGUAGCUACGUAUGGAUGUGAUAAACGCUGAAAGCAUCUAAGUGUGAAACACACCUCGAGAUGAGAUUUCCCAUUCCUUUAUGGAAGUAAGACCCCUGAAAGAUGAUCAGGUAGAUAGGUUAGAAGUGGCAGUGCGGUGACGCAUGAAGCGGACUAAUACUAAUCGGUCGAGGACUUAACCAA